rnacentral:rRNA from 1 species
CCUACGGGAGGCAGCAGUAAGGAAUAUUGGUCAAUGCCCGGAAGGGUGAACCAGCCAUGCCGCGUGCAGGAUGACGGCCCUAUGGGUUGUAAACUGCUUUUGGAUAGGAAGAAUGGAUUGUAUUGAUAUGAUUUUGACGGUACUAUCAGAAUAAGCACCGGCUAACUCCGUGCCAGCAGCCGCGGUAAUACGGAGGGUGCGAGCGUUAUCCGGAAUUACUGGGUUUAAAGGGUGCGUAGGCGGCUGUAUAAGUCGGGGGUGAAAGCAUGGAGCUUAACUGCAUAAUUGCCUUCGAUACUGUAAAGCUGGAAUUAAGUUGAGGUUGGCGGAAUGUGACAUGUAGCGGUGAAAUGCAUAGAUAUGUCAUAGAACACCGAUUGCGUAGGCAGCUGACUGAGCUUAAAUUGACGCUGAGGCACGAAAGCGUGGGGAGCGAACAGGAUUAGAUACCCUGGUAGUCCACGCCCUAAACGAUGUACACUCGUUGUUUGGAUGAAAAUUUGAGCGACCAAGCGAAAGCGAUAAGUGUACCACCUGGGGAGUACGCCCGCAAGGGUGAAACUCAAAGGAAUUGACGG